AGUGAACGCUGGCGGCAGGCCUAACACAUGCAAGUCGAACGGCAGCACAGGAGAGCUUGCUCUCUGGGUGGCGAGUGGCGGACGGGUGAGGAAUAUAUCGGAAUCUACCCUUUCGUGGGGGAUAACGUAGGGAAACUUACGCUAAUACCGCAUACGAACUGAGGUUGAAAGCGGCGGACCGCAAGGCGUCGCGCGGAUGGAUGAGCCGAUAUCCGAUUAGCUAGUUGGCGGGGUAAAGGCCCACCAAGGCGACGAUCGGUAGCUUGUCUGGAAGGAUGAGGGAGCACACUGGAACUGCGACACGGUCCUGACUCCGACGGGAGGCAGGAGUGGGGAAUAUUGGACAAUGGGCGCAAGCCUGAUCAAGCCAUGCCGCGUGUGUGAAGAAGGCAUUCGGGUUGUAAAGCACUUUUGUUGGGGAAGAAAAGCGGUCGGUUAAUACCCGGUCGUUCUGACGGUACCCAAAGAAUAAGCACCGGCUAACUUCGUGCCAGCCGCCGCAGUAAGAC
rnacentral:rRNA from 1 species